rnacentral:rRNA from 1 species
GUUUAAUUCGAUGAUACGCGAGGAACCUUACCUGGGCUUAAAUGGGGAACGACAGCUGCCGAAAGGUGGCCUUCUUCGGACGUUCUUCAAGGUGCUGCAUGGUUGUCGUCAGCUCGUGCCGUGAGGUGUCGGGUUAAGUCCCAUAACGAGCGCAACCCUUAUCGUUAGUUGCCAGCGGGUCAUGCCGGGGACUCUAGCGAGACUGCCACCGUAAGGUGUGAGGAAGGUGGGGAUGACGUCAAAUCAGCACGGCCCUUAUGUCCAGGGCUACACACGUGUUACAAUGGCCAAUACAAAGGGCAGCUACCGGGUGACCGGAUGCUAAUCUCUAAAGUUGGUCUCAGUUCGGAUCGAAGUCUGCAACCCGACUUCGUGAAGCUGGAUUCGCUAGUAAUCGCAUAUCAGCCAUGAUGCGGUGAAUACGUUCCCGGGCCUUGUACACACCGCC